GUUAAAAAGAAAACAAGCUAAUAAAAGGCUGUAACGUCAAUCAACGUUAUUUGAUAUAAAAAAUUCACAACAAUAAAUUAAUAAAUAUGAAAUAUUUGGAUAUUUGCUUUUCAUCUUUUGUGGCGGCAUUUAUUUGCUACAACUUUUGUGGCGGUAUUAAAUGCAUUGGCAUACCCCUUCUUUAAAUAACUCGCACAUGCCUUUCUUUUAUAACUUUCCGACUCGAUUGCUCGUACUCACCCACCCACCACCCACCUCCCCUGUCAAAAUGUGCAUUCAUGCCACGUCAUUUCCUUGAUGUGGCAUCAGAAACCAAUAACAUAACGCCAGCUGUAAUUUUUGCUACGUCAUUUUCUUGUUUUAAUUGAAUUUUCUUUUUAAAAUUAAUAAAUAAUCCUCCAUCACCCUCUAUAAAACGGUCCAAUUGAUUUUUUUUUUUAUAAUUUUAUUUUUUAAAACUAAAAGUUUAAUAGUGGAAAGUAAACCUAUUAAAUUAUCAUAAUCAACAUAGAGGGUACAGUAAUAAUGGAUCACCAUACACAGAGCAAUUUCUCCCCUCUAUAAAUCCCAUCAAUUUUGCUUUUCUAUUUUCUAUGGAUUCUCCUUCAACUUCAAGGCUGUCUUUGGUACUAAUUUGAAGGUUCUUCAUCGUUCAAACUCCCAUUUGGUGGUUCUUCAUGUUUAUUACUAGAGAAGCAUGACAAAGAUAUCAUCCAAACAAUAAAGGAAGCCAGUGUAGCAUUGGCGUGAAGAUACAUGCUCAACCCAUGAAACGAGCGCACGGACCCCCAGAUAAAAAAGAAUGGAGACACUCCGGCAACUCCAACCGACCAUCAAUGAUCGACAUACACACACAGUGAAAGAGUUCUAGGCAUUUUUUUUUUUUUUUUUAAUACGUAGAGUGUUGGGAGUUUACUUUGGGUUAAAAAAAAAAAAAUUAAUAUAAAUUGCUCGCAUAAGAUUUCUUUUUAUCUAUAUAAUUUAUUCAAUGACUUGCUUAUGGAAUCCUUACAUUUUUUCAUCACGAACAAAACGAAAGAGUUUGCUUAAACGAAAGGGUUUGCUUA